GACAGAGGAUGCAAGCGUUAUCCGGAAUGAUUGGGCGUAAAGCGUCUGUAGGUGGCUUUUCAAGUCCGCCGUCAAAUCCCAGGGCUCAACCCUGGACAGGCGGUGGAAACUACCAAGCUGGAGUACGGUAGGGGCAGGAGGGAAUUUCCGGGUGGAGCGGUGAAAUGCAUUGAGAUCGGAAAGAACAACCAACGGCGAAAGCACUCUGCUGGGCCGACACUGG
rnacentral:rRNA from 1 species